rnacentral:rRNA from 1 species
GACGAACGCUGGCGGCGUGCUUAACACAUGCAAGUCGAACGGAAAGGCCCUGCUUUUGUGGGGUGCUCGAGUGGCGAACGGGUGAGUAACACGUGAGUAACCUGCCCUUGACUUUGGGAUAACUUCAGGAAACUGGGGCUAAUACCGGAUAGGAGCUCCUGCUGCAUGGUGGGGGUUGGAGAGUUUCGGCGGUUGGGGAUGGACUCGCGGCUUAUCAGCUUGUUGGUGGGGUAGUGGCUUACCAAGGCUUUGACGGGUAGCCGGCCUGAGAGGGUGACCGGCCACAUUGGGACUGAGAUACGGCCCAGACUCCUACGGGAGGCAGCAGUGGGGAAUAUUGCACAAUGGGCGGAAGCCUGAUGCAGCAACGCCGCGUGCGGGAUGACGGCCUUCGGGUUGUAAACCGCUUUCGCCUGUGACGAGGCGUGAGUGACGGUAAUGGGUAAAGAAGCACCGGCUAACUACGUG